rnacentral:rRNA from 1 species
GACGAACGCUGGCGGCGUGCUUAACACAUGCAAGUCGAACGGAAAGGCCCUGCUUUUGUGGGGUGCUCGAGUGGCGAACGGGUGAGUAACAAGUGAGUAACCUGCCCUUGACUUUGGGAUAACUUCAGGAAACUGGGGCUAAUACCGGAUAGGAGUUCCUGCUGCAUGGUGGGGGUUGGCAAGUUUCGGCGGUUGGGGAUGGACUCGCGGCUUAUCAGCUUGUUGGUGGGGUAGUGGCUUACCAAGGCUUUGACGGGUAGCCGGCCUGAGAGGGUGACCGGCCACAUUGGGACUGAGAUACGGCCCAGACUCCUACGGGAGGCAGCAGUGGGAAUUUUGGCACAAUGGGCGGAGGCCUAAUGCAGCAACGCCGCGUGCGGGAUGACGGCCUUCGGUUGGUAAACCGCUUUCGCCUGUGACGAAGUGUGAGUGACGGUAAUGGGUAAAGAAGCACCGGCUAACUACGUG